rnacentral:rRNA from 1 species
GACGAACGCUGGCGGCGUGCUUAACACAUGCAAGUCGAACGAUGAAGCUAGAGCUUGCUCUGGUGAAUUAGUGGCGAACGGGUGAGUAACACGUGAGUAACCUGCCCCGAACUCUGGGAUAACUGCUGGAAACGGUAGCUAAUACUGGAUACGACCUACGAAGGCAUCUUCUGUAGGUGGAAAGAAUUUCGGUUCGGGAUGGACUCGCGGCCUAUCAGCUUGUUGGUGAGGUAAUGGCUCACCAAGGCGACGACGGGUAGCCGGCCUGAGAGGGUGACCGGCCACACUGGGACUGAGACACGGCCCAGACUCCUACGGGAGGCAGCAGUGGGGAAUAUUGCACAAUGGGCGCAAGCCUGAUGCAGCAACGCCGCGUGAGGGAUGACGGCCCUCGGGUUGUAAACCUCUUUUAGUAGGGAAGAAGCGAAAGUGACGGUACCUGCAGAAAAAGCACCGGCUAACUACGUGCCAGCAGCCGCUGUAA